rnacentral:rRNA from 1 species
GAUGAACGCUGGCGGCGUGCCUAAUACAUGCCAGUCGAGCGAACAGACGAGGAGCUUGCUCCUCUGACGUUAGCGGCGGACGGGUGAGUAACACGUGGAUAACCUACCUAUAAGACUGGGAUAACUUCGGGAAACCGGAGCUAAUACCGGAUAAUAUAUUGAACCGCAUGGUUCAAUAGUGAAAGACGGUUUUGCUGUCACUUAUAGAUGGGUCCGCGCCGCAUUAGCUAGUUGGUAAGGUAACGGCUUACCAAGGCAACGAUGCGUAGCCGACCUGAGAGGGUGAUCGGCCACACUGGAACUGAGACACGGUCCAGACUCCUACGGGAGGCAGCAGUAGGGAAUCUUCCGCAAUGGGCGAAAGCCUGACGGAGCAACGCCGCGUGAGUGAUGAAGGUCUUCGGAUCGUAAAACUCUGUUAUUAGGGAAGAACAAAUGUGUAAGUAACUAUGCACGUCUUGACGGUACCUAAUCAGAAAGCCACGGCUAACUACGUG